UACGUAGGGCGCAAGCGUUGUCCGGAAUUAUUGGGCGUAAAGAGCUCGUAGGCGGCCUGUUGCGUCCGCUGUGAAAACCCGGGGCUUAACCCCGGGCUUGCAGUGGAUACGGGCAGGCUGGAGGCAGGCAGGGGAGAACGGAAUUCCCGGUGUAGCGGUGAAAUGCGCAGAUAUCGGGAGGAACACCGGUGGCGAAGGCGGUUCUCCGGGCCUGUACUGACGCUGAGGAGCGAAAGCGUGGGGAGCGAACAGG
rnacentral:rRNA from 1 species